UUGACCUCGAAUCAGGUAGGAAUACCCGCUGAACUUAAGCAUAUCAAUAAGCGGAGGAAAAGAAACCAACAGGGAUUGCCCCAGUAACGGCGAGUGAAGCGGCAACAGCUCAAAUUUGAAAUCUGGCUCUCGGGCCCGAGUUGUAAUUUGUAGAGGAUGCUUUUGGUGAGGUGCCUUCCGAGUUCCCUGGAACGGGACGCCAUAGAGGGUGAGAGCCCCGUCUGGUUGGACACCGAUCCUCUGUAAAGCUCCUUCGACGAGUCGAGUAGUUUGGGAAUGCUGCUCUAAAUGGGAGGUAUAUGUCUUCUAAAGCUAAAUACCGGCCAGAGACCGAUAGCGCACAAGUAGAGUGAUCGAAAGAUGAAAAGAACUUUGAAAAGAGAGUUAAAAAGUACGUGAAAUUGUUGAAAGGGAAGCGCUUGUGACCAGACUUGGGCUUGGUUGAUCAUCCGGGGUUCUCUCCGGUGCACUCUUCCGGCUCAGGCCAGCAUCAGUUCGCCCUGGGGGAUAAAGGCUUCGGGAAUGUGGCUCUCUCCGGGGAGUGUUAUAGCCCGCUGCGUAAUACCCUGUGGCGGACUGAGGUUCGCGCAU
rnacentral:rRNA from 1 species